AGGAAGUUGCCAUAGUGAACUAUGAUGCUUUUACUAUGUUAGAUUUUAAACUUUAUUUCGUUGUAUCUCUAUUUUUUUAAGUUUAGUUCUUGAUUUAAGAACAUGAACAUUGUAGCAUGUUACAGGUGAAACAAGAUAUCCCAAAUUAUUCUGUUUGCUUUAAACUAUAAGCCUCAUAGGGAUUUAAAGAGCAAGCUCCAUAAACCUGGCCCUGCCUUUGAUAACGGUGAACCUUAGUUUCUAUGAACCUCAGUUUUCUCUUCAAUAAAACAGGGACAAUAGUAUACUUACCUUAGUUUCUUAAGUCAUUUCACCAAAAGCCAAUUCACUAAAGUACCAAGAAUACAAUUAUUAAGUACAUUCAAGAUGAAUAUUACCUAAAACAAGUUAGCUUUGGCAAAUUGGACAGUUUUUCAUUCCUAGUAAGGAUAGUAUAAAGAUCAAAUGAAGUAGUAAGUAAAUAAAUAAGUGAAUAAAUAAGUAAAUAAAUGUUUAGCAAAAUUCUUGGUAAAUCUUAGCUAUAAUUUCCUCACCAUGCAAAUUUCAAGUCCUGCCCAUUCUCUCUUCAGAAAAUUCACAAUUCCUGUUCACAUAAUCAUUGUUUUGUUGAAGGCUUUCACUACCUUUUAGAUUUCCUAUUGUAAUAGUCACUUAAUUGGCUUAUUCUCCUCCAGUCUUAUUGUACACACUACUUCCAAGGUGAUCUGUCUACCACUUAUCAUCUACAAUAAAAGAAAGGAAGGAAAGGAAAAGGGAAGGGAAGAAAUAUAAGCCUCGUGAUUUGGUCUAAAUAUUCAGCAUCAUCUCUUUUCCCCUUUUUCAUUUAUCUUCCAGCCCACUAAAUACUUAGUUUCCUUAUCAUGCAAUUCUUUUCCAAGAAG
rnacentral:lncRNA from 1 species